rnacentral:rRNA from 2 species
GGGUUGUGAGGUUAAGCGACUAAGCGUACACGGUGGAUGCCCUGGCAGUCAGAGGCGAUGAAGGGCGUACUAAUCUGCGAUAAGCGCCGGUAAGGUGAUAUGAACCGUUAUAACCGGCGAUACCCGAAUGGGGAAACCCAGUGUGAUUCGUCACACUAUCAUUAACUGAAUCCAUAGGUUAAUGAGGCGAACCGGGGGAACUGAAACAUCUAAGUACCCCGAGGAAAAGAAAUCAACCGAGAUUCCCCCAGUAGCGGCGAGCGAACGGGGAGGAGCCCAGAGCCUGAAUCAGCAUGUGUGUUAGUGGAAGCGUCUGGAAAGGCGCGCGAUACAGGGUGACAGCCCCGUACACAAAAGCGCAUGUGCUGUGAGCUCGAUGAGUAGGGCGGGACACGUGGUAUCCUGUCUGAAUAUGGGGGGACCAUCCUCCAAGGCUAAAUACUCCUGACUGACCGAUAGUGAACCAGUACCGUGAGGGAAAGGCGAAAAGAACCCCGGCGAGGGGAGUGAAAAAGAACCUGAAACCGUGUACGUACAAGCAGUGGGAGCACAGGUUUACCUGUGUGACUGCGUACCUUUUGUAUAAUGGGUCAGCGACUUAUAUUCUGUAGCAAGGUUAACCGAAUAGGGGAGCCGGAGGGAAACCGAGUCUUAAUUGGGCGUUAAGUUGCAGGGUAUAGACCCGAAACCCGGUGAUCUAGCCAUGGGCAGGUUGAAGGUUGGGUAACACUAACUGGAGGACCGAACCGACUAAUGUUGAAAAAUUAGCGGAUGACCUGUGGCUGGGGGUGAAAGGCCAAUCAAACCGGGAGAUAGCUGGUUCUCCCCGAAAGCUAUUUAGGUAGCGCCUCGUGAAUUCAUCUCCGGGGGUAGAGCACUGUUUCGGCUAGGGGGCCAUCCCGGCUUACCAACCCGAUGCAAACUGCGAAUACCGGAGAAUGUUAUCACGGGAGACACACGGCGGGUGCUAACGUCCGUCGUGAAGAGGGAAACAACCCAGACCGCCAGCUAAGGUCCCAAAGUCAUGGUUAAGUGGGAAACGAUGUGGGAAGGCCCAGACAGCCAGGAUGUUGGCUUAGAAGCAGCCAUCAUUUAAAGAAAGCGUAAUAGCUCACUGGUCGAGUCGGCCUGCGCGGAAGAUGUAACGGGGCUAAACCAUGCACCGAAGCUGCGGCAGCGACACUGUGUGUUGUUGGGUAGGGGAGCGUUCUGUAAGCCUGUGAAGGUGUGUCGUGAGGC